UUAAUCUUAAGGAACUCGAGAAGUUUUAGCUUCUGCAGUCCGAGUGAUAGAUAAGAUAGCUCAUCACAAGAACUAAUGAUCAAAGACUUUAGAGAAGCGAGACUCUCAAGUUUCGAGGGCAGUGAAUGAAGAUUUUGGAUGAGAGGAUCUCCAAAGAUGCAAGACAACGGUUGUUUUCCUUCAAUUCUCCUGGUAAACGCAGCAAGCCUGCAUAUUCAAUAUUAUUUAGAAUUUAUCAAUUAAGAUUAAAAAGGAUAAACAAACUAAUAUCAAUGGUAAGCAAGUGUCACUGUAGGGGAUAAUUUUACUCGGAGUCACAACAAAGAUGGCCCAACAGUUCAAACAAGUAAGACAAUCCCUACCUGCCCUUCCUAUAGGAACAUUGAGCUUUUUCCAUAUAAAGACGCUACCACAAUUUCCUAGUUUGUAGAAUGUUAACAAAUUAAAUUGUAAGUGUAUUGGAUUCUAACAAUGAGAAACAUUUUGAAACAUCCCAGACAUCCUUUUGGGACUCUGGGAUCAGUGUAUCCAACUCAUAGAAUAUAACAAGUUCUGUAUAUGAAAUGGAACCUUUUAUGUAUGUGAAAAGCAUGUAAAAAUGAUCUCUUGAAAUGCCUGGUAAAAAUGAUCACCAAGGGGUGGUAAAUGAACCAAAAUAAAAAUUUGAAAGACAAAUUUGUACCCACUAAUGGCAUUUUGGUCUACAAAAUACAGUAAUCAAUAUUAGGGAAAGAAUAACUCAAUCUAUAUUCUUUACUCAUAAAAGGCACUAAAUGUACAAAUUCUAUUUUACUUUUCAGGUAUAGACUAAAAAGUGAUUUCAAAAAUUUAUCUUUAAUGAUAAAUGGUUAGACCUAGUUUAUGGUAUCUUGCAAGGAAUCGAUAGUUCAGUAGCUAAGAUUCUCUUCUUAAUUGUUCAAUAUCCUUAGUCACAAAACACAAAGCUCUACACAAAGCGGUAUACCAUUCUAUUGAAGAUGCAAAAUAAAACCAAUUUUAUGAAGAAGAAGAAGAACUAUUGAACAUAAUUUAUCUACUACGUACUAUAUCAUACAUUAAUUAUUACUAGUUCUAACUCCUAAAGAAACUUAAACUAGGGUUCUCAAUAUCAAAAGUACUGAAACACAAUGACCAAAAUUACCUAUACGCUCAACCAUACCCAAUAUCUUAACGAAAUCAAUAUUGUAAUUUGGCAAUACUUUCUUUCAAAAAUUACAAUAUACAACUCAAUUUAAAUAAUAACUGAUUAGACAAGGUCAUAAGCAUUAUUCAUGAACAAACUGGACUCCUUUGUCAGUUGUCACACAUCUUCCAUCAGUAGUUUGCUUCUGAGUUUUGGCAUGCUCUGUUUGCUUUAUGUUUUCUUCUUGGGCACAUGUAUCAGAUCAUGAUGACCAUUACAAACAACUACUAUUUUCCCUUAGACAGAAUCAUACUUGCACAACUAUUUGAACAAAUAUUAGAGCAUACUGACGUGGUUACUAAAACUGUAAAAAAGAGGCUACUUUCAAGAAAAAACCAUCAAACAGAAUAAGAGUGACUCGUGCACAAAACAAAAAAAGUAAGGGCUAAUAAAGAAGAAUGAACCAAAUUAGGGAUUUCUUUACCAAUGAAGUCUGGACACAAAUUACUUGCACAAAUAGUCACUAGUUAUUGCAGAAUCCUUGAUUUAGUCAUAGAUUUUUCACCCAAGAAUUUCAACCAAAACAAGAGUUUGCACAAAUUUUAGGGUUUUGAGAAUUUAGGCGUAUAAGAGAGUAUACGGUAGGAGAAGGAGGAGGAUAUGAAAUGGGAAGAAGAUUACCUUGAAAGGCAGUGAUUUUAAUUCUCACUCUGUUGUAGGAGGAAGCUUGUUCCGGUACGAGCGAAGCAGGAAUUCGGCAAAGUGAGAGAGGCGUGUGUGUGAGAGAGAGAGUUUGCUAGAUA
rnacentral:lncRNA from 1 species